rnacentral:lncRNA from 1 species
GCAGAUACUUCUCAUUCAGUUUUUCUUUCAUAUCCUCCCAGGUGGUGAUACGUGGAAGCCUCUGGGUCUCACGCCUAUGUUCUACGUUAUGCCAGUACCAGUGAGCUUGCCCAAUAAGCUUCAUUUUAGCAAACCAUACUUUUCGAUCAUCAGUCAUUUCGUACCACUCAAAAUAGUUAUCCAUGGUUGCUCUCCAAUCAAGAUACACACUUGGCUCUAAUUGACUAGCAAAUGUGGGAGCAUCUACUCGGACGGUACGAAGUAGUCGCUCGUCAAGAUCGCGCUGGUGAUCAAGAGGAAGUUGGUUCCUAGGGGGAUGGAAAAAAGCUACAGGUGGUGUGGUCAAACCAAACUCGGGAUAAGCUGCGAUUGGGGUUGACGGUUCAGGAGUCCUAGGGUGUUGCACUAGAGCACGGAUCUCUCAUUUGAAUUCGUCUUGAUCAGCUCGUAAUGCAGCUAAUUGUUCCAAAAUAUCUUGUAGAACUCUGGGGUCC